ensembl:lncRNA
UAUAUAUAGUUAUUAACAGUAAUAGUUAAACUAAUUAUUAUUUUAAUUAUUUAUUAAUGUAGAAUGGGUUUGAUAAAAACAACCCUGUGAAUGAUGUGGCUUAAGACAACUUUUUUUUUCAUUAAAAAAAAAUAAAUAAAUAAAAUAACUAAAAAAAAAAGUUUUUAAGCUAUUUUUUUUCUGUUAUUCCACAAUUCUUUCAUUGUAUGGACAAAAAAACAAAAAAAAAAACAGAGACACGUUUUAAAUGCCAUUUUUCUUCUGUGUUUUUCAGAAGAAAGAAAGUCUCACAGGUGUGGAACGACAUGAUAAUGAGAAAUGACACAAUUUUCAUUUCUGGGUGAACUAGUCCUUUAAAUGCCACUCAGUAUUACAGCGGGAGCUAUGAUGUGCCAGUACCAACCUGAGAGCAAAGCCCGCUAUAUACCAGGCACUGUGCCAGGAAAAGAACUGCUGUUGGUCAGAGUGGGCAGAAAGGGCGAGGAAUGUCCGUGUACCAAUGACACCCUUUCUCAUGCUGCACAACCGAGUCCUGCUUCCAGAAUAUAAAAGACAUACGCACACAUUGUGCAAACCCCUUUUUUUCCCCAGCCUGACCAUUGUGAGAACUUGUAUUCUCUCUGAUUUACUCACCCAGAAUUAUAAACCCUGACAGCUGUGCUUCACAGUUUGAUGCUGUGUCAACACUGGAUGCGAGCGGCACGUCUCCAUGUAACAAAACUCAAUAGCUCCUAUUAUAUGCAACAAAGCUGUCUACACUUGAAGGGUUCAUUACUUCAAAUUGUUGAUGCCACAAUUCUAUUUUUGCACCCAGUUCUAAAUGUUUUUUUUCUCUAGAUCUAACUUUUUGAGUGCUGUACAGCCACUCCAGCUCUGUUUUUCCCAUUUGUAUAAAAUAGUUUUAUUUAAUUGAUCAUCAUUCGAUUGCAAUGAAUUUACAUUGACAUUCAAAUGAAUUCUACCAAUACACUAAGAUCUUGUAAAAUAACUAACAGUAUAGAAAAUGAAAUUUUAUACAAAUGUGAAAACGUGCAAUAUCAGUCACUUCCAGUGUGAACAACAGGCUUGAGAAGGUUGAAGCAAAAUCUUCAGGGCUGCUUGGUCAACUUUUUCCUUGAAGCUCCUUUAAUGUCAUUGUAUUUUCCCACUGUGUACAGUUAUUCAGAUAUCAGAAAAACCAAAAUGCAAAUGAUGUGCACUGCAUACUGUUGAAGAGGAGCAGGAUGGCCGUUCCUCUGCAUUCACUGCAGUCUUUUUUUCUUUUUCAUUAUGGAACUGCUCUAUAAUGUAAUGUCAUCUAAUAACAAAAUUCAUCCUCUUUCAGAAGCCAUUUGUAUGUGCUUUUUUCCCAAGCAGUAUUCAGCAUUUAUAGUUUGGUGUUUUAUUCCAGGUAUACACAAGUGUCAGACCUCUUCCAUAAGAAUCACAUGAAUGUAUUAAUAAGUCUUAAGAAAAGACCACAGUGUCAUCAGGAAGGACCAGUAAUGGUUGACUUCUACAUCAUUUCAUCCUGGCCUGAAACUCUUGUUUGAUUUCCUGUCUAUUGUUGAUUUUUCUUGAAUGACUGUUGAUACAUGUUAUAUUUAAGACGAAUACAAAGAAAUGCGUUUCCAUAAAUUGCUGUGACACUGUACAUAUACUUUUGUAUGAAGGGUGUUUUAUUAUUAAAGACCACAGUUUAAUGAUAUAAA